CGGGGGUGGGGGCGACGGCCGCGGCAAAGGGUGAGGCCAACAAUGUCAAAAAGAAUUAAAAUUUGAUUUCUAAAUACUUCGUGGUGUAGAUUAUGUUCAACGGUGCCGAUUGUCGAUUUGAAAAAGCCAUUCAUAUCGGUGCGUGUGGAUUUUUGGCCAUUGAAUUAAGAAAUGUGUGGUUAGGAUAAUGUGGGACCACUAGGGUUAAGUGGGUAGUUGGUUAAAUAGUGUGAUCUAACGGAUAGAAAUAAUCAAAGAGGUAGAUCUAAUGGUAAAAAAUUUACAAGCACCAAGCACUUAGUGCUUUUACAAGCACCAUAGCUGGACUCUCUCUCUCUCUCUCUCUCUCUCUCUCUCUCUCUCUCUCUCUCUCUCUCUAUAUAUAUAUAUAUAUAUAUAUAUAUAUAUAUAUAGAACUAGGCUAAUAUACUAUUAAUAUCACCAAGUCAUUGGUGCUAUCAUACUAUAUACUAUUAAAUAGUAUGAUCUAACGGGUAGAAAUAAUCAAAGAGGUAGAUCUAAUGGUAAAAAAUUU
rnacentral:lncRNA from 1 species